rnacentral:rRNA from 1 species
AUUGAACGCUGGCGGCAGGCCUAACACAUGCAAGUCGAGCGGCAGCGGAAAGUAGCUUGCUACUUUGCCGGCGAGCGGCGGACGGGUGAGUAAUGUCUGGGAAACUGCCUGAUGGAGGGGGAUAACUACUGGAAACGGUAGCUAAUACCGCAUAACGUCGCAAGACCAAAGAGGGGGACCUUCGGGCCUCUUGCCAUCAGAUGUGCCCAGAUGGGAUUAGCUAGUAGGUGGGGUAAUGGCUCACCUAGGCGACGAUCCCUAGCUGGUCUGAGAGGAUGACCAGCCAAACUGGAACUGAGACACGGUCCAGACUCCUACGGGAGGCAGCAGUGGGGAAUAUUGCACAAUGGGCGCAAGCCUGAUGCAGCCAUGCCGCGUGUAUGAAGAAGGCCUUCGGGUUGUAAAGUACUUUCAGCGGGGAGGCAGGUGCUGAGGUUAAUAACCUCAGCAAUUGACGUUACCCGCAGAAGAAGCACCGGCUAACUCCGUGCCAGCCGCCGCAGUAA